rnacentral:rRNA from 1 species
UGGGAAUAUUGCACAAUGGGCGCAAGCCUGAUGCAGCCAUGCCGCGUGUGUGAAGAAGGCCUUCGGGUUGUAAAGCACUUUCAGCGAGGAGGAAGGUGGUGAACUUAAUACGUUCAUCAAUUGACGUUACUCGCAGAAGAAGCACCGGCUAACUCCGUGCCAGCAGCCGCGGUAAUACGGAGGGUGCAAGCGUUAAUCGGAAUUACUGGGCGUAAAGCGCACGCAGGCGGUUUGUUAAGUCAGAUGUGAAAUCCCCGGGCUCAACCUGGGAACUGCAUUUGAAACUGGCAAGCUAGAGUCUCGUAGAGGGGGGUAGAAUUCCAGGUGUAGCGGUGAAAUGCGUAGAGAUCUGGAGGAAUACCGGUGGCGAAAGGCGGCCCCCCUGGANGAAGACUGACGCUCAGGUGCGAAAAGCGUGGGGAGCAAACAGAUUAGNUACCCUGGUAGUCCACGCUGUAAAACGAUGUCGA